rnacentral:rRNA from 1 species
GACGAACGCUGGCGGCGUGCUUAACACAUGCAAGUCGAACGAAAAGAGGGAAAGAGCUUGCUCUUUCCGGAAUUGAGUGGCAAACGGGUGAGUAACACGUAAACAACCUGCCUUCAGGAUGGGGACAACAGACGGAAACGACUGCUAAUACCGAAUAAGUUCCAAGGGCCGCAUGGCCCAUGGAAGAAAAGGUGGCCUCUACCUGUAAGCUAUCGCCUGAAGAGGGGUUUGCGUCUGAUUAGCUGGUUGGAGGGGUAACGGCCCACCAAGGCGACGAUCAGUAGCCGGUCUGAGAGGAUGAAAGGCCACACUGGAACUGAGACACGGUCCAGACUCCUACGGGAGGCAGCAGUGGGGAAUCUUCCGCAAUGGGCGAAAGCCUGACGGAGCAACGCCGCGUGAGUGAUGACGGCCUUCGGGUUGUAAAACUCUGUGAUCCGGGACGAAAAGGCAGAGUGCGAAGAACAAACUGCAUUGACGGUACCGGAAAAGCAAGCCACGGCUAACUACGUG